UUUAUCGGAGAGUUUGAUCCUGGCUCAGGACGAACGCUGGCGGCGUGCCUAAUACAUGCAAGUCGAGCGGACAGAUGGGAGCUUGCUCCCUGAUGUUAGCGGCGGACGGGUGAGUAACACGUGGGUAACCUGCCUGUAAGACUGGGAUAACUCCGGGAAACCGGGGCUAAUACCGGAUGGUUGU
rnacentral:rRNA from 3 species